rnacentral:misc_RNA from 1 species
CAACCCUCAAGCCUGGCUUGGUGUUGGGGUUCUGCGCAUGCAGUCCCCUAAAUUCAGUGGCGGACACGCUAGGUCUCCGAGCGCAGUAACUUUUCUCGCUUCGGGCGUCCGGCGUGGGCUUGCCUUGCACCCAUACUUCUCAA